UGGGGAAUAUUGCACAAUGGGCGAAAGCCUGAUGCAGCAACGCCGCGUGAGUGAUGAAGGUCUUCGGAUUGUAAAGCUCUGUCUUUUGGGACGAUAAUGACGGUACCAAAGGAGGAAGCCACGGCUAACUACGUGCCAGCAGCCGCGGUAAUACGUAGGUGGCGAGCGUUGUCCGGAUUUACUGGGCGCAAAGGGUGCGUAGGCGGAUGUUUAAGUGAGAUGUGAAAUACCCGGGCUUAACUUGGGUGCUGCAUUUCAAACUGG
rnacentral:rRNA from 1 species